UCUAACAUCGCCCAAGAUGGUGCGCGGGCCCCGUGCUGCGGAUGGGCGCGUGAAAAGGGAACGCGGUAGGGCACCUGUCCCGAAGCCGCGGCUGACCCCGCAACUGUAUAUGGCGCGCGGGUCCGGAGAUGCCACUGGGCGAUAUGCCCGGCAAGGUCCGGACAGGCGACGACCCACGAGCCAGGAGACCUGCGAUCUGCUUGGUGUCGAG
rnacentral:ncRNA from 2 species